ensembl:lncRNA LINC00348 long intergenic non-protein coding RNA 348
ACUCUCGUCGCCAUUUUGUUUUUGGUGGUUUUUGUCUGGCUUCUUUACCGCAACCUGUUUUAUCAGCAAAGUCUUUAUAACCUGUAUUUUGUGCUGACCUCCUAUCUCAUCCUGUGACUUAGAAUGCCUUAACAACUGUCUGGAAUGCAGCCCGCUACUGAGUGAUGAUGUUCUUUCUAUACAUCCCAAGCGUUCUGUACAUCUAUGCAUCCCAAGUGCAUCAAGAUGGACCAGGUUGUCAGCAUGUUCAGAGUAAACAUGAAGAUUUAUGAUGUGCAUCUAAUGCCUGGUUUGGGGUCUGCACCAUGUUGGAGUCCAAGACUCAAGUGGGCUUUCCUGGGUAAAGAUUGCUCCCACAUAAUCUACAAUUUGCAGAUAUUUCAUGAUUCUGAAGAAGAAUUGGAGGUGAGACUUGAGAAAAUGGAGAAAAAGAUAUGCUUUGGAUUUUCUUGAAGACUAGAAGCUUUCUUAACCAUCCACCACCUUGUUGACUGGUUAUUAUUCUCUCUACCUUCUGUGAAACAAACUGAUGGAUACUAAUGGCACAAUUACACUUAUAGCUAGUCAGUUGCAUAGUUUAUGCACAUAGUUCUGCUUCCAGUGUUUAGUAAUGAGUUAAACAUUUUGGCUAUAUUUGUCUCUGAAGCUAUAAUUUCAAUUAAUCAUUAUGUAUAGCAAUAAUAACAAGUAAAACAAAAAGAAGAAUUUUUUGUUUCUAUGGUAAUUAUGUUGGGUGCUUUGGAUCCUCCCAAUAAAGUUGACUUCCUAAAAUAAUUACACUUGAAUUAGGUAUAGAGAAGCUAAUUGUAACAAAUUGAAAGUUACUGUAAAUCUUCUAAUCGUAGUUCUCUGCAAGUGUACUUAAGUUAUUGCUCCACUUGAAAUAAAUGAAAACUGGAAAUCUGAGGUGAUGAAUUAUGGGUCCCUUUUAUGUAAGAAAGAUGACAAGGAAAUCUAAUCUGCUGAGUUAUACUAAAAUAAAAUACCUUGGCCUGGGAUCAAAUAUAGGUGAAAGAAUUAACAUUUAUGUUUUUUAAUUAAGAUAAAAUGUACAAGUUUUAUGUACAUAUUUUAUGAUUUCCUGAUAUAACAAAAAGUGUUGAUAAAAGCACCCAAUACUGAUUCUAAUGACAUUUGAUUAGCAUUAAAGAGUUGCUAU